rnacentral:lncRNA from 1 species
AAAAUCAAAGCCAAUGUGAAACUUUAUUGCAUAGAAAUACUCAGUAUUUACAAAAUAAACGAAAACUUCAAAAAUUCGUAAAUCAACAUAAAUCUAAGACCCAGAAUUGAAAUCGGAAUAAAUAAAAAAUAUGAAAUUGCAUAAAUUGCGUGAGUCGUGUUCUUGUAAGUUGGAAGAUUGGAGACUCGACCAUUGUGGAAUUGAACUCUCGUACGGAUAUCUAGGGAAUGCAUCACGGCGACGGUGGCAAACUCGUCGACGGCGCCGGCGAUGGCAGUCUCCCACUGCCACUGUGACGCUGACGACAUUUGAAUUGCAUGGCAGAUUAAAAAGCUUGAUGCUUUGGACUACAGCGGCAGCCACAUGGUCUGAAACAACCAGUGUUGCCUUAUGCUGUGCAGCGUGGGUUCUGAAAGCAACAGACUCUUCU